ACACCUCAACUCUCAUGGUCUGCCAUGAUGAGCUUGGACUUUGGGGGUCUUGCCGGCCUAGCGUCGGCUCCUCUCAAAUGGAUCAGCUCGCCAGUGUUUGGUGGCAUCACAGGUGUGAUAACUAUCUACGCUUGUGGUUUUCUACCAUGUAACCUUCAGCGAUGGAGGUUCGCUGGGGCUCACAGACGUCUCUCCUUGGAGGACAGCUCUUUGAAC
rnacentral:misc_RNA from 1 species